AGGUGCUGGAGGAAAUAAAAAUAUUCACAUUAUUGUACAGCUGCAAAAAAACAUGAAUUGGCAAUGUCAGUCAAAUACAAACUGCUGUUGCUACUGUGAUGAUUUUGCAGUCCAUGUGGGCAGGCCACAUGCACUGCAGCAAUAAUCAGAGGGGGAAGCAUAAUGGAAACUACUGCAGUGAACGUUGAGCUGACGACAAACUAAACUCACCGGAGGAGUUUGGUCUUCUUUCAAAGUCACAACUUUGACAUUUCCAGUAGGACUGUAGUUGGUGUUUGUUUAUUAUACAGGUGUACCCCUUGUUCCGUUUACACUACACAAGAGAGACCCUCACCCACUGUUGAAAAGUAAGAUUUCAAUUGAGCUUCGUUGUAGUUUCACUUUACUUUACUUUAUUUUUUCCACCUCUGGCAAUUACUACUUCUCCUGCUGUCAAACUACUGCGUUUAAGGUGGUUUGGCAAAAAUACCUUGGCAGCUUUGUUGACCUUAUCUUCAUUGUCCCGCUUAUGGACAAACACAGAAGCGCGCUUUCCAUCCUGGAGCACCGCCGUGUACAUGGUGAGUCCAAAGGGCAGGGUGAGGAGCGGCUCCCCCAGGGUGC